UACGUAGGGUGCGAGCGUUAAUCGGAAUUACUGGGCGUAAAGCGUGCGCAGGCGGCGCGUUAAGACAGGUGUGAAAGCCCCGAGCUUAACUUGGGAAUUGCGCUUGUGACUGGCGUGCUGGAGUGUGGCAGAGGGAGGUGGAAUUCCACGUGUAGCAGUGAAAUGCGUAGAGAUGCGGAGGAACACCGAUGGCGAAGGCAGCCCCCUGGGUCGACACUGACGCUCAGGCACGAAAGCGUGGGGAGCAAACAGG
rnacentral:rRNA from 1 species